GCGCGGGUGGCGGAACUGGUAGACGCGCAGGCUUGAGGGGCCUGUGGCCUUCGGGCCGUGGAGGUUCAAGUCCUCUUCCGCGCA
rnacentral:tRNA from 1 species